UCACCGAUGGUAUUUAUCCGAAAUGGGCAAUUUUUAUCCAAUCUAUUUCGCUACCACAAGGACCGAAAGCAGUUUUAUUUGCUCAAAACCAGGAAGCUGUCCGAAAAGAUGUCGAGCGUGCUUUUGGAGUCUUGCAAGCUCGGUUUGCCAUCGUUAAAAAUCCAGCACUUUUUUGGGAUAAAGUCAAAAUUGGGAAGAUUAUGAGAGCAUGUAUCAUACUCCAUAAUAUGAUAGUUGAAAACGAACGAGGUGGAUACACGCAAUUUAGUCUUUCCGAGUUCCAACAUGCAGAAGACAACGGAAGUUCACAUGUGGAUCUCAACUAUUCAACAGAUAUCCCUUCAAAUAUCGCUAAUAUGAUGGGUGUUCGAACUAGAAUUCGUGAUAGAAGAAUGCAUGAACAACUGAAAGCUGAUUUGGUUGAACAUUUGUGGAGUAAAUUCGGAGGUGAUGAGGCCAACAAUUGAGCUCGAAUGUUUCUUUCAAAUUAUUGUCGAUUAUUGUACUAAUCUUUGUUUUAUGUUUUUAUUUUGAAAUAUGUGUUCUAAAUGUUAUGAUUAAAUAUGUUUUAUAUAAUAAAUAUAUUUAAGCUUAUAAAAAACAAUGUUUAGUAUAAUUUUUUUAAGCACCCCAAAAUAAGCAACUUCCAUUGGAGGUCAAAAUAUUAGAAGUUGCUUAAAAAAGUGUCUAACACCCAUUUAAUACUAAAAAAAAUGUUUAAGCACCCCAAUAGAGUUGUUAUGGUUAAAGAUGCUCUAAAGCUCACAACAAGACACAAUGUGUCGUGUAUAAACUUUUAGUUUUGGUGCCUUCCUCUUUCCCUCUUUUUUUAAAAAAAAUCAAACAUAACCAAAACUUUUAGUUUUAUAUUAGAUACUGAUAGAAAUCCCUCCCGGGAACCGGCACUCGAAGAUUGGUGAUGGAUAGGCUUUGAUCGAAAACUCGAGCAAAGGAAGGUAGAAUGGAUUAUGGAGUCGAAGAUGAUGAGAUGGUCUUCAGAGACUGAUUUGUGGAAAGAUCAAUCCAUUGUGUAGAAGUGCCCUUGAUCAAGAGAAUGAACUAUGUUUUCCGAUCAAGGGCGAAUUGCUUACAGAGAAUAAACUCCUAGCAUUAUGAUGUUCCAAAGAACAAAUGAUUCAACAAAUUUAAAAGUAAAUUUUAUUAAAAAGUUGAAUGAUUAUUACAAAGCUUGCAUAUGUUUUUAUAUGAUAGGCAAUGUGGUAGACAAAAGGUUUAGUCAAAACCUAGAAACUUGAAAACUCAUAAAUAUAAAAGACUUGACCAGAAUAAUAGAUGUCUUUGACUUAACCAAAAGUUUAACGGUUUUUGCUGAUUGAUUCUUCGGCUGGCCGCGUCCUUUUCGCAUGGUUGAUCUGUAUUGCCGUGAAACUAAUAUAUUAUACAACUAUGACUUGUAUUUUUUUGUUGGGCUUUUUUUUGGGGCUGAAACAUGUUCAUAAACAUAUUUUUAUAAAUCAUCAAGCUCAUCUUGUGUAAACUCAAGCCCAUAAGCCAAACUCUCAAUUGAUAUGUUUGUUGAUGAAUAUGAUUGCAUCAGAUAUCACAAUCACAAGAGAAACUGCUUUAAAGUAAAAACCUGAGAAAUGUUUUCUAAUGGAUUCCUCUAAGUUAUGAAAAAUCCAAGUUUUCAGAAAUUAUUUCUCAGUUUUGAUAACGAAUAGUAGUCAUUGACUAUUAGUUCUCUUUUUGUCUGUCUUCUAGAUUUGUUCAUAUAGUUGCAUGAGUUUUUUCAGUGAUAACUAGCAUCUGUUUUUGUUUAUGGUUUUUGAUUUCUAAAAUAUUUUAGGAAAAAUUAGAAAAAUGAGACACUCUCAUCUUAGAUUUGUCCCAAUAAGACUUGUAGAAGAUUAUUUAGGUAAAUAAGAUUUAUAUUCUCUUUAAUACCAUUAUACCCUUAUAAUUAACCACAUUAACCUUAAUUAAAAUUAAUUCGUAAUUGAUUUAAGUUUUAAUUAAAAAAAAACACAAAAGGAUUAAAAACUUGUUUACCCUAAUAUUUUUUUCAAUUCUCUUCUUCUCUGUUGUGUACCUUCAAGCCUUCAACCCCUUUUAAUGGCAAUUUAGGAUACAAAUCAGCGAAUUGGAGAUUUGUUCUUGAAUUUGUCGGACGGUCCUCUUCUCUCUUUACGGUUUCGUCGGACGAUCAGGCCUGACAUCGGAAGGAUCGAGAAAUGGGUGUUACACACUGCUUUUUAUGAUGAGAAGAAUCCUUAUCUACCGAAGAGCGCUGCUAGAGCUACUGUGCCAGGAGGUCCAAGUGUACCAUGUAGUACAGCGAAAGCUGUGGAAUGGGACGCUGCUUGGUCACAGAACCUUGACCUGUCGGGUCGUGCGGCUCUUGGAGUUCAUGUUGCAGCUUAUGAGGAAGAUAAAGCCGAAGGUACCCGUCCUAAGAAGCUACAGAAACUAGCAGAGAAAACUGCAGAAGCCAUUGUUUGAGGAUUAAACAAGGUUUAUAACGAAUGUUUGCAUCACACAUUUCUCUUAUUUUCUCAAAAGACAAUACUUUAUCAUCUUACCUAGGGUCAAUAAGUACCAAUAAGUUGUCUUUUUAACUGAAUUGUGUUAGGAGUUUUUGAGGAUGUACCUAAGUUUUUGCUGAUUUUCUAUUUGUUUUCCUGAAUAAGAAUCUUUCUUCUGUUACAAAGUUUCAAAUUUUUUUUCUGUAUGAUGUAUCGUUCAACUGUGUUCAGUCUAGAUUUGUUUCAUUUCAGUUUUGACUUUUGAGAAAUUCAGUUUUGGGAAUUCAUACACCUUUGAAUUGUUCAAACUAUAUUUUGUUUCAUUUUUUCUCUAUGUUCUUUAAUUGGGUUUAAAAGGUCUAUAAGCUAAAUAUAUCAUACAACAAACAAUUAGACUUUGUGGCUCAAUGGAUAAGGCGCUGGUCUACGAUAUAUCAUACAACAAGAGAUUAUGGGAUCGAUCCCCAGCAGAUUCUCUUUUGUUUUUGUUUUUUAACGCUAUCAGCCUCAACAUUACUUGAAAUACAUGGCUCUUUAUUGAAAUCGUUCCUUUUGAUUUAUACCAGUACGAAGAGAAAAAGUUUUGAGAAAAAUCGUGGGAGGAGGAGAAAAACAUGGAAGAAAAUAUUCUAUGAAAGAUUUAGGGUAUAUUCAGUUUAAAUUUUGGAAACAUCUUUAACCAAAUAUGGAAGUUUCCAUAUUUUUCGGAUUUGCCUAAAAUAUAUAUCUUACCUUACGUAGAACAUAGUAGAGUAGAUGAGAAACAUAUUCUUCCUUAAGCGUCACAUAAGGUAAAAGGCAGAACAAAUUAUGACAAAUAAUAUAGAUAAGGUAUAUCAUUCCGUUGUAGCUAUAUGUCGUUAUCAAGCUGUAGGUAGAUUGAAGACAAUUUUCUUGAUUAUAAAGUAACAUAUUAUAGCCGUGUUAAAAUAUAUAAGAAAUGCUAGUU